rnacentral:tRNA from 1 species
GGGCGAUUAGCUCAGUUGGGAGAGCACCUGCCUUACAAGCAGGGGGUCACUGGUUCGAACCCAGUAUCGCCCACCA